CUGCCUUCGUCGACCAACAUCCUCCUACUGCUGCAACACCUCCUUCAUCAUCAGGCCAGGACCACCACUAUCUACCAGCUCUCUGGAGAGGGAGAGCAUGGAGAGAUACAUCAGUGAGUCCCUGGCAGCUGGCAUAAUUCGUUCAUCAACUUCAUCUGUGGGAGCUGGGUUUUUCUUCGUUGGUAAGAAGGAUGGAACACUCAGACCAUGCAUUGACUACAGGGCCUUAAACUGGAUCACUGUAAAGAAUAAAUAUCCACUGCCAUUACUUGCCUCAGCUCUUGAACUCGUUCAGGGAGCCACUAUAUCCACCAAACUAGACCUCUGUAAUGUUUACCACUUAAUCAGAAUGCGAGAGGGGAAGAGUGGAAAACGGUAGUUUAAUUAUGGUAGUUUUAAUGAUUAACUUUAGCGCAUGUUGAAAGACGGAUCAUGAUUGUUUUGAGCAGGCCUCAGUUUAGGUUAGUUUUAGACUCAUGGUUUAAUCAAUACAUAACUUAAUCAGAAGAACAUUUUUCUUAGAUAUAAUCAUCACGAUUUAAUUAAAAUUAGUCUAAUCAGUAGUUUUUAUAUUAGAUCACAUUAAGAGUGUAGAACUCAAAUAUUAAUCUGGAAAUUGUUUUAGUUCAUAUAACUAAGGAAGUUGAAAACUAAUCAGAGAAUAUUGAGUGCAAAAGAUGUUUUGGUAUUGAAAUUGCUCAUGUCUGUUUUAUAAGAGUUUAAAGAUAUUAUAUGAAACGUGUGGUAAUUUUUAUAAUCAAAAUCUGCUAUUUGAUGCCCUGGGUCAGAGGAGAGGUCAGGAAAGCUCUUUGUGGUUCAGGAACCAGUUUGAGGCAGUUUGAAGGGAUGAAAAACACAGAUAGCUUUUAAACUUUGGUCCUGCUUUCUUGAGUAAAAUGUUUCUGUAUGAAAUUAACACAUCUAUUGUUUGUAGCCUGUGAAAGUGCGCAUGGAGGAUAGCUUAGACAGCGAUGAAUUCAUCUCUUGGCCUUGACAACACCUGCAUGGUGUCUGGUGUAAAAAACAGACACACGUCAUUACGGGCUGUUUGAGACCACCUCUAAACUGUACGUUAGAACACAUCAGACAAUAGAAACACACCUUGAUAUAAAAGUAAUUGAGCUAAAACAGCUGGUCAGAUCACUGGGGUGGAACUGCCUUAACUGCCACACACAGUGGUCUCCGAAGGCGCGUGUUCGUAUUUUUGUAUUUUUCUAAGGUAAUUAAUUUCUUCUUUGUGGCUUUGGUUUCUGAUGAUUAUGAUGUUGAUGUGAUUUUAUGCACUUUUAUGCACUAGUUUGAAUAAAAUUCUGCUUGAUUGUGAAGUUGAACAGUGACUGUUGUCUUUGUGCUUUCACUUUUACACACUACAUUAACGGACCUGGGGAAACGAGAUAACAACAAGCAACAGACCUGUCCAUGGCUCCAACGACAUCAUCAAGUUUGCAGACGACACCACGGUGAUCGGCCUCAUCAGAGAUGAUGAGGCCGCUUACAGGGAGGAGGUAGACCGUCUGGCUGAGUGGUGCGACUAAAACAACCUGCAGCUGAACCCCAAGAAGACCAAGGAGCUUAUUGUGGACUUCAGGAGGAACGCUGAGCUACAUCCACAUUAAGGGGACAGUGGUGGAGCGUGUGGACACCUUUAAGUUCCUGGGAGUCCACAUCUCCGAGGACCUGACUUGGACGACCAGCUGCUCCAAACUCAUCAAGAAGGCGCAUCAGCGCCUCUUCUUCAUGAGGACCCUGAGGAAGAACCACCUGUCCUCAGAGAUCCUCACGAACUUCUAUCGCUGCACCAUUGAGAGCAUCCUCACCAACUGUAUAACAGAAUUGCUCUGUCUCCAACCGGAAGGCGCUGCAGAGGGUGGUGAAAACUGCCCAGUAUAUCGCUGGGGCACCGCUCCCUGCCAUCAAGGAUAUCUACAGGAAGCGGUGUUUGAAAAGGGCCGGGAAAAUCACAAAGGACUU